rnacentral:rRNA from 1 species
GGCCCUUCGGGGUACUCGAGUGGCGAACGGGUGAGUAACACGUGGGUGAUCUGCCCUGCACUUUGGGAUAAGCCUGGGAAACUGGGUCUAAUACCGAAUAUGACCACGCUCUUCAUGGGGUGUGGUGGAAAGCUUUUGCGGUGUGGGAUGGGCCCGCGGCCUAUCAGCUUGUUGGUGGGGUAAUGGCCUACCAAGGCGACGACGGGUAGCCGGCCUGAGAGGGUGACCGGCCACACUGGGACUGAGAUACGGCCCAGACUCCUACGGGAGGCAGCAGUGGGGAAUAUUGCACAAUGGGCGCAAGCCUGAUGCAGCGACGCCGCGUGAGGGAUGACGGCCUUCGGGUUGUAAACCUCUUUCACCAGGGACGAAGCGCAAGUGACGGUACCUGGAGAAGAAGCACCGGCCAACUACGUGCCAGCAGCCGCGGUAAUACGUAGGGUGCGAGCGUUGUCCGGAAUUACUGGGCGUAAAGAGCUCGUAGGUGGUUUGUCGCGUUGUUCGUGAAAACUCGCAGCUUAACUGUGGGCGUGCGGGCGAUACGGGCAGACUAGAGUACUGCAGGGGAGACUGGAAUUCCUGGUGUAGCGGUGGAAUGCGCAGAUAUC